rnacentral:tRNA from 1 species
GGGCGAAUGGUUUAGUGGUAUAAUACUCCCUUAGCAUGAUUACACAUCUGGGAGUGGUCCAGGGUUCGAUUCCCUGUUCGUCCA